rnacentral:rRNA from 1 species
GGAUAGCGGAGAAAUUCCAAUCGAACCCGGAUAUAGCUGGUUCUCCCCGAAAUAGUUUUAGGACUAGCCUCGUGAUUAAGAUUAUCGGAGGUAAAGCACUGAAUGGCCUAGGGGUCGAGAGAUUACCGAAGCCUAUCAAACUCUGAAUGCCGAAUAAUCAUGCACGGGAGUCAGACUGUGUGAGAUAAGUUUCAUAGUCGAAAGGGAAACAGCCCAGACCUACAGCUAAGGUCCCAAAGUACGUUUAAGUGGAAAACGAUGUGAAAUUGCGUAGACAACCAGGAUGUUGGCUUAGAAGCAGCCAUACAUUAAAAGAGUGCGUAAUAGCUCACUGGUCGAGUGACUUUGCGCGGAAAAUUUAACGGGGCUAAAACGUACACCGAAGCUUAGGCUUGUCACAAUGUGACAGGGGUAGGGGAGCGUUGAAUGAGGGGUGAAGUCGUAGCGAAAGCGACGGUGGACUUCAUUCAAGUGAGAAUGCCGGAAUGAGUAGCGAGAAUUAUGUGAGAAUCAUAAUGGCCGAAAGCCUAAGGUUUUUGGAGGAAGGUUCGUCCGCUCCAAGUAAGUCGGAAGCUAAGGUGAGGCUGAAAAGCGUAGCCGAUGCACAAACGGUUGAAAUUCCGUUACCACAGAAAGAUUUAAACUAAGGGACACUUUUGAAGAGCUGAUGCCGGGUGUUGGUUACCCCGGUCGUAAGGGAACGAAAUUAAGUAGUGAAGUCAGCGUGGAUGAAGGCGAGAAAAGCUUAGUGUAUAUCUUAUGUGUCCGUACCGCAAACCGACACAGGUAGGUAGGAAGAGAAUUCUAAGGCCAACGGGAGAAGGGUAGUUAAGGAACUCGGCAAAAUGUCCCCGUAACUUCGGAAUAAGGGGAGGUUUCUACGGAAACCCGCAGAGAAUAGUCCCAGGCAACUGUUUAUCAAAAACACAGCUCUAUGCUAAAUCGAAAGAUGACGUAUAUGGGGUGACGCCUGCCCGGUGCCGGAAGGUUAAGAGGAGGAGUGAGAGCCCUGAAUCGAAGCCCCGGUAAACGGCGGCCGUAACUAUAACGGUCCUAAGGUAGCGAAAUUCCUUGUCAGGUAAGUUCUGACCCGCACGAAUGGCGUAAUGAUCUGGGAGCUGUCUCAACUGCCCGCCCGGCGAAAUUGUAGUACCGGUGAAGAUGCCGGUUACCCGCGACUAGACGGAAAGACCCCAUGGAGCUUUACUGUAGCUUAAUAUUGGAUUUCGGCAUUUCAUGUACAGGAUAGGUGGGAGACUAGGAAACAUAGGCGUCAGCUUAUGCGGAGUCGUCCUUGGGAUACCACUCUUGGAGUGCUGAAAUUCUAACCUGCAGCCCUGAAUCGGGUUGGGGGACAUUGUUAGGUGGGCAGUUUGACUGGGGCGGUCGCCUCCAAAAAGGUAACGGAGGCGCUCAAAGGUUGGCUCAGCAUGGAUGGAAACCAUGCCAUAGAGUGCAAACGCAAAAGCCAGCCUGACUGCGAGACUGACGGGUCGAGCAGAAACGAAAGUUGGAGUUAGUGAUCCGGCGGUAUGUGAAUGGAAAUGCCGUCGCUCAACGGAUAAAAGCUACCCUGGGGAUAACAGGCUGAUCU